GUCACCUGGAACUUAAGAGCCCCCGCAGACUUACAAUUGCAAGUUGGGCAACUAAAUCGCAGAGUAUACAAAUAAGCACAGUGACUUAUGACAUCCCGCACAUCUUAUCCAACUAAAUUGUUCAACUAAAUAAUUGGACAUCGAUUGUAUCAGAAUCGAAAUUCCCUUCCGAUUACGUACAACUAAAAAGUUGGCCAACUAUUGGCCGACAGCUUAUUAGCACAGGGACCCUAUACAAGCUCGCGGACUAUCCAACUUAGUUGGUCAGUCGCACGGCAAGAUGCAUGAGGACAGCACGUGUGCACGUGAUUUCCCCGCGCCCGGACCAUCGACGACGGGCAAAACAAACGGCAAAAGUUGUGUCCUGUUUGAAUAUCGCUGGACCAAUUAAAUAUACAAGCUCAUCAAAAGAAGGAGUACUCAUUCUGUAGUAUGAAAAAAAUUUAUCUGGGUAACAUCUCAGUUUAGAAUGCAAGAUAUGAUGUUGUCCAUGUUCUAAUCUAUCACUUAAUACAGGGUGAACCCAAAAAGUUCUCUUCUGUUUUCGUCUUGUUUUUAUUAAUAUGGCAAUGAGAGCGUUUUUUUCCGCAUUUUCACGCACACGUCACCGCGCUAGCAACACUCUCACCGACUAAAUCAAUUUAGUCUGCGUUAGUCUGCGUCUAACAACCGAUACGAUAUAGUUGGCCGAUUAAAUUGUGAA